rnacentral:sRNA from 1 species
GAAGCAUUUUUAAAGGCAUGCUUCAUGUACACUUUGUGUGUCGAUUAAUGUCCUCUCUUGUUUAUGUCUGGCAAUAUGACGACCUUGAAUGCAUUCCCAUAGCACUGCAUAUGACAGUGGCCUUGACUUCAUUGGAAGAGAGAGAGAGAAAGAGAGAAGUUACAGGUGUUUGUUUUUUUUUAAUAUAUAUUUUCAUACAAUUCUGAAUUAGUGUCUACAUCGGUUUCAUUCCAUAAGGAGUGAUGUCAAAAGUGAUUUGAUAGAUAAUCUUUCAGGGAAAGAUGUCAAAAUGUUCCAAACCCUUUACUAAUUAGAUAAUUUUAACAACAUUCAUGCAUUCCAGGUUCUCUACAUGUGUAAUCACGAUCCAGAUUAAAUUGAGUAUUGAUAGUAUAGUUAUGCCAUUAGCAAAAACAAACAAUUGUGAGGUAUGUAAUACCUAAAAGUAUUGCAAAUAAUUUUUGUCAAGUGUAUCAAUUUUGAUUAUAGCACUAUAAAUUAAUAGUAUUACAUCAGUAUAACAUGUCAUAUCAUUUGAUCCCGAAGCCAAUUUUUUUUUUCAAUUUAUUUAUAUUGUGAUUGAUUGAUAAGUGCUUAAUUUAUUUCUAAUUACUUAAUACAAGUAGGUUACCUAUUUAAUUCAUAGAUUGUCUCUGGAAGGAUACAAACAAAAACAAAUCUCUCAGGUCAUGUUUUAUAAGACUGUACAGUACACCCAUGUACCUGAAUCUCUACAGUUAGUGUGAAGAUCUGUUAUAGCAAGGUUGUAAAGUGACAUGAUUACGGUACUCUGUGCUGCACUGUCUGCUUCUGACACUGUCAGUGUGACAGUGUGCUACUUGCUGUCAAUGGCUCUGUGACUGGUUGUGUCUGUGGACAGCUUAUUGUUGCCACAUUUGUAUGUCAUCACUUAUCAUUAGGCCAAAUUAUGAAUAUAUGAAUAUUUAUUGUUUAUUAUUAAAAUGACACAAAUGAUGAAUC